GAUGAACGCUGGCGGCGUGCCUAAUACAUGCAAGUCGAGCGAACAGACGAGGAGCUUGCUCCUCUGACGUUAGCGGCGGACGGGUGAGUAACACGUGGAUAACCUACCUAUAAGACUGGGAUAACUUCGGGAAACCGGAGCUAAUACCGGAUAAUAUAUUGAACCGCAUGGUUCAAUAGUGAAAGACGGUUUUGCUGUCACUUAUAGAUGGAUCCGCGCCGCAUUAGCUAGUUGGUAAGGUAACGGCUUACCAAGGCAACGAUGCGUAGCCGACCUGAGAGGGUGAUCGGCCACACUGGAACUGAGACACGGUCCAGACUCCUACGGGAAGCAGCAGUAGGGAAUCUUCCGCAAAGGGCGAAAGCCUGACGGAGCAACGCCGCGUGAGUGAUGAAGGUCUUCGGAUCGUAAAACUCUGUUAUUAGGGAAGAACAAAUGUGUAAGUAACUAUGCACGUCUUGACGGUACCUAAUCAGAAAGCCACGGCUAACUACGUG
rnacentral:rRNA from 1 species